rnacentral:rRNA from 1 species
AUUGAACGCUGGCGGCAGGCCUAACACAUGCAAGUCGAGCGGAUGAAGGGAGCUUGCUCCUGGAUUCAGCGGCGGACGGGUGAGUAAUGCCUAGGAAUCUGCCUGGUAGUGGGGGAUAACGUCCGGAAACGGGCGCUAAUACCGCAUACGUCCGGGGGGGGAAAGGGGGGGAUCUUCGGACCUCACGCUAUCAGAUAAGCCUAGGUCGGAUUAGCUAGUUGGUGGGGUAAAGGCCUACCAAGGCGACGAUCCGUAACUGGUCUGAGAGGAUGAUCAGUCACACUGGAACUGAGACACGGUCCAGACUCCUACGGGAGGCAGCAGUGGGGAAUAUUGGACAAUGGGCGAAAGCCUGAUCCAGCCAUGCCGCGUGUGUGAAGAAGGUCUUCGGAUUGUAAAGCACUUUAAGUUGGGAGGAAGGGCAGUAAGUUAAUACCUUGCUGUUUUGACGUUACCAACAGAAUAAGCACCGGCUAACUUCGUG